UAUUAGGACACUUGAUCCCAAAGGACUCUUAAAUAGGGAAGUCGUCUGCUGUUUGUGCACGGCUGCUCUUGCUACAGGAGACCCGGGACAGAGGACUGCUGUCUUCCUUCUCUCUUCACUCUGAUUAACUUGAGGAUCUGUCACUCCAGCCAUGAGGACCUUUGCCCUCCUCACUGCCAUGCUUCUCCUGGUGGCCCUGCAGGCUCAGGCAGAGGCACGUCAGGCAAGAGCUGAUGAAGCUGCCGCCCAGGAGCAGCCUGGAGCAGAUGAUCAAGGAAUGGCUCAUUCCUUUACACGGCAUGAAAGUGCCACUCUUCAGCUUUCAGAGUCAGCGAAAGGCUUGAGGUGCCGCUGCGCAGGAGGAUUCUGCCAUUUGUUAUAAUGUCACCUUGGGUCCUGCACCUUUCGUGGUUGACUCUGCUGGAUCUGCUGCCGCUGAGCUUCCAGUUUCAAGAAAAAUACGCUCAGAACUUACUUUGAGAGUUAAAGGAAAUUCUUGCUACUCCUGUACCUUCUCCUCAGUUUCCUUUUCUCAUCCCAAAUAAAUACCUUCUCGCAAGA